GAUGAACGCUGGCGGCGUGCCUAAUACAUGCAAGUCGAGCGAACAGACGAGGAGCUUGCUCCUCUGACGUUAGCGGCGGACGGGUGAGUAACACGUGGAUAACCUACCUAUAAGACUGGGAUAACUUCGGGAAACCGGAGCUAAUACCGGAUAAUAUAUUGAACCGCAUGGUUCAAUAGUGAAAGACGGUUUUGCUGUCACUUAUAGAUGGAUCCGCGCCGCAUUAGCUAGUUGGUACGGUAACGGCUUACCAAGGCGACGAUGCGUAGCCGACCUGAGAGGGGGAUCGGCCACACUGGAACUGAGACACGGUCCAGACUCCUACGGGAGGCAGCAGUAGGGAAUCUGCCGCAAUGGGCGAGAGCCUGACGGAGCAACGCCGCGUGAGUGAUGAAGGUCUUCGGAUCGUAAAACUCUGUUAUUAGGGAAGAACAAAUGUGUAAGUAACUAUGCACGUCUUGACGGUACCUAAUCAGAAAGCCACGGCUAACUACGUG
rnacentral:rRNA from 1 species